rnacentral:ncRNA from 2 species
AGCUGAUUAUUCCAUAAAAGUGCCCUUUUCAAGGGAGAAUAGGGAAACCGGUGAGACUCCGGUGCAGCCCCCGCUACUGUAAUUGGCGAGUAAUGCCGCCAUAAGCCAGGAGACCUGCUUUUCAUGGUUUUAGCAC